rnacentral:rRNA from 1 species
GUAGGGAAUAUUGGGCAAUGGAUGCAAGUCUGACCCAGCCAUCCCGCGUGCCGGAAGAAGGCCCUCAGGGUUGUAAACGGCUUUUGACGGUGAAGAAUCGACAGGAUGCGUCCUGUUUUGACGGUAGCCGUUGAAUAAGCACCGGCUAACUCCGUGCCAGCAGCCGCGGUAAUACGGAGGGUGCGAGCGUUGUCCGGAUUUAUUGGGUUUAAAGGGUGCGUAGGCUGGAAGGUCAGUCAGCGGUGAAAAGCUAUCGCUUAACGAUAGUCUUGCCGCAGAUACUUCCUUUCUUGGAUGAGGAGGAGGCCACUGGAACGGAUGGUGUAGCGGUGAAAUGCAUAGAUAUCAUCCAGAACACCGAUUGCGAAGGCAGGUGGCUGUACCUUAAUCGACGCUGAUGCACGAAAGCAUGGGGAGCAAACAGGAUUAGAUACCCUUGUAGUCC